CUACACCAUCCACCACCAUUCAUUAAAAUUGCUAAAAACAUUAUCACUCACUGUCCCAAGUGUUGUUAUUCUCUCUCUCCAUAAAGAUUCAAUACAGAAGAGGCAUGGGUUAUGUAAAAAUAUGCGAGAAAAUAAAAAGGGGCAAGUGCCCAGAACCUCGAAAAAGAAAGAAAAAAAGAGUGAGGUGAGAGGUAAAAAUGGACAAGUGUCCAGAGUAGAAUUAGGGGUACAAAGAUGCCCGCUUGAGAGGAAAAAAUGGAGAAGUGUCCGAUAGUAGAAUUAGGGGUAUUUACUACCCACC
rnacentral:lncRNA from 1 species